rnacentral:rRNA from 1 species
CCUACGGGUGGCUGCAGUGAGGAAUUUUGGACAAUGGGGGAAACCCUGAUCCAGCGACGCCGCGUGUGGGAUGAAUGGGUUAUGCCCUGUAAACCACUGUCAGCAGAGAAGAAAAGGUUCCUUUGGAACCCGGGACUGUAUCUGCAGAGGAAGGACCGGCUAACUACGUGCCAGCAGCCGCGGUAAUACGUAGGGUCCAAGCGUUGUCCGGAAUUACUGGGUAUAAAGGGUGCGCAGGCGGUCUUGUGCGUCGAAGGUUAAAUACCAUGGCUCAA